rnacentral:rRNA from 1 species
GGCCUACCAUGGUGGUAACGGGUAACGGGGAAUUAGGGUUCGAUUCCGGAGAGGGAGCCUGAGAAACGGCUACCACAUCCAAGGAAGGCAGCAGGCGCGCAAAUUACCCAAUCCCGACACGGGGAGGUAGUGACAAUAAAUAACAACACAGGGCUCUUUUGGGUCUUGUUAUUGGAAUGAGUACGAUUUAAAUCUCCUAACGAGGAACAAUUGGAGGGCAAGUCUGGUGCCAGCAGCCGCGGUAAUUCCAGCUCCAAUAGCGUAUAUUAAAGUUGUUGCAGUUAAAAAGCUCGUAGUUGAAUUUCAGGCCUGGCUGGACGGUCCGCCCUUCGGGUGAGUACUGUCUGUGGUCGGGUCCUACCUUCUGGCGAAGCGUCAUGGCCUUAACCGGCCGUGGCGGGGAACCAGGACUUUUACUGUGAAAAAAUUAGAGUGUUCAAAGCAGGCAAUUGCUUGGAUACAUUAGCAUGGAAUAAUGGAAUAGGACAAUGGUUCUAUUUGUUGGUUUCUAGGACCGUUGUAAUGAUUAAUAGGGAUAGUUGGGGGCAUUAGUAUUCAAUUGUCAGAGGUGAAAUUCUUGGAUUUAUUGAAGACUAACUACUGCGAAAGCAUUUGCCAAGGAUGUUUUCAUUAAUCAAGAACGAAAGUUAGGGGAUCGAAGACNAUCAGAUACCGUCGUAGUCUUAACCAUAAACUAUGCCGACUAGGAAUCGGGCGAUGUUGAAAAAAUGACGCGCUCGGCACCUCNUG